UCUGGGCACUGGGUGCCAGCUGCCACUCGGGCCUGGGGCUGGCGGCUGGAGAGGAGAAAGAUUGAUCCACUCCACUCCGCCACUGGAGUCGCGGCUUUCCUCGCGGUUUUUACGUAGUGGUAGAAACGUGGCCCUGAAAAGAAUGGCGUCCAUUUACAUAAUGCUUUGUUUGCAUUUUGCAAGUUUAUUUCGGAAAACCCGCAGAAACCCCACCUCCUACCCUAGUGGUGGUUUAGUCAUGGCAGCCUCCAGGCAUUUAAAACAAUAGUGUUCCUCUUGUAGGCCGCAUUCACUCAGGGGUUACCGACUAGUGCUUUGGGGAGCUCCUGUGGCACUCCCCGCACGGCUUGCGCUUCGUAAGGCUUUGCGGUCCUGGCCACCCUUGGUGCAGCCGCCGUGUUCCGCACUUUCCGGGGGUGGCCCCUGACGGGGCCGCCAUUUUGGAAAGCCUUUUCUGCUGUUGGCGCAACUGUACCUUUUCCUUGCUAAAGGAGAAAGAUUGCUCUGGUUGCUGGUGUACUACUUGUUAUUUACCCCUUUUCCCCUACCCUUCAGUUAAGCCAGACAGAAAAGGCCUUGUGCGCAACGUGUUUGAGACUCCCUCAGGGAAAACGACCAACAUGGCGGUCCCUUUGCCCCCCGCCUUUCUUCACGGGGGUAGCCGCCAUGUUUCCUUAACACAAAAUGGCGGCACGUGGCCCGUGUCGCCGCCAACGAGAAAUUGGGGUGGGCAAGAAUGCUCUAGAAUGCGUUCUCGUCAUUCUGCCAUCCCCCGUGCCUGUCGGCCGGGGACCUUCCCCGCGCAGCGAGUCUUCUGAGCACUCCGAUAACAAUUCCCACAGCGUGGUCCAAAACCUGGGAGAAGGGAGGGAGCGAUUUUUAAUUCCGUUCUUACUAAUUUGAACCGCGAAUAUGAACUGUAAAAUGUAGGCAUGAUGAUGCCGUGUCUCUUGCUCACUUUAAAUUUAAUGCAUAGCGAGGGCCGGUACCAAUAGGUAACUUGGACCCUCAAUAACAGACAUUUAGCAAUCACUGCCUUAAGGAGUAAGAGGGGAAAUUACUGCUUCCCUAGUCUUCUAGGACUAGAAAAGUUCAAGAAAUGACGUAUAUAUUUUUAAAAAGUUUCCAUGGAGAUACUAGGAUGCCGAUGAUUUUUUUCAUGGGCAAGCUGGACAGUGAACCUCAGUUUCCCCACAAGCGGUGUUCACUUUUAGUCUAGAAGAGACAGACAUUUAUUGUUCAUUUACCGGUACCAGAUCCUGUACUAGACAUUUUACUGCGUACUACCUAAUUUAUAAUGAUCCUCUGAGGUAGGUGGUGUUAUCUUUCUUUCUCUCUUUUUUUUUUUAACAGACGAGUUCUCUUAGGCCCAGGGAGAUGAAGUGAUUAAUUCAAAGUCACACUGUCAAGAAUGGAAUCCAGACCUCCUUAUUUCCUUAUUGAUCUGCACUGUCUUGUGGAUAGGUGAGUGAAUUCCACACCACCCAUUUUAUAGAUGAAGACAGUGAGAUAAUGGAGCAACUGACUAUAAAUAGUCACCGCCCUAUCCUUGGAGUCUCACAUAUGACUCUUCUCCUCCCAACUUGAGUGCCUUCAGGUUGGUUAAGGUGAGACAUGGUCUUGUGACUGAACAGUAGUUGAGCAUGUAACUCUGGAGCCAGCCUGCUGGGUCCUGAAUUCUGACUCAGUCACUUACUAUGUGACCUUAGAAGAGGGAGACAUACACAGAGAGAAGAUGGCCAGAUGAAGAUGGAGGCAGAGAUUUAAAUUACACUGCUACAAACCAUGAAGGGCAAAGAUAACUGACAGCCAUCAGAAGCUGAAAGAGGCAGCUCCCUAAGCACAUGCUGUUGGAUAAUCCUGCCUGGACCAGUCCCUCCCUCACCUUGGACUUCACAUUUUCCUUUUUACUCCAUCUGCUGAAGCUGCCAUCUAUCCCUUUUCACCCCCAAGGGGUGUCUGGCUCCUGAGACCCCAGCCUGGGCUAGUGCCCUGGGCUCCCUGGGAGUUUGCCAAGAAAAUCAAAUAGAACGUGAACAUUGCUAAGGAAAACUCCCAUGCUGAAUUGUGAUUUAUAGUCAGCAUAGCACAUUGUGCUACUUAGGCCAUUUUAGUUGUAAUAAUCUGCUUUCUGAUCCUGUGUAUGGAAAGCCCAGAGAUUUUCCUGUAGUAUUUCUUCCUGGAUUACUGAGAGAGAACUCAAGACACAGGUUUACUCUGCCUUCUGUAUUAAUCUGGGCCUUGCUGGGACCAUUCAGAGAAGGAUGGUGCAAUUCUGGAAGUAGAGCCCAGGCUUCCUACAGGCUGUUCAAAGGCUAUGACCAUAUUCAAAUCCUGUUGCUGCUUGAUUCCAAAGAGUUUAAAAUAGUGUUGGAAAUCUCCUAGGAAAAAAAGCAUGGUGGUAACUUCUUGGCUAAGGAAGUGGUGCUUGCUGGCCAGAGCAGAAGGAGUAGCCAAGGCUCCCAAGUUUUAUUCUGGACCUGUUGACUUGAGGUGUGAUAUUCAGUAAUCCAAGAUGAUGUUCUGUAGCUCUGAUGGUUUCUCAUCUCAGCAUAGUGAUAUGGGUUGUCUUGCAGGGAGAGAGACCAAUAUACUGGUCCCCUGUCCUCUUGCCAUUAGUUGACCUUCCUUUCAUUUGAAUUUCUAGGCUCCAUUUUUAAAUGCAGAACCUUCUCCCUGCCCCCCAUACACAUGGUUAAUUUAGGAAUCCAGCAAUAUUAUCCACAUUUUACUUUAAUUAAAUUUCAUCAGAAUUGCUUUCCUUUUAUCAUCAUGAUUAGAUCAGGUCUUCUAAGGAAUGAGAACUUUGAUAGGGUUUAGGAAAGAAAGGAAGGGUUUGUGCGGGGCACAUACCUUGGCCUUGUAUAGCCAGAGCGUAACAUGAAGGCACCAGGUGUAUGAUGUGCUAGAUGAGGAAGAACAAAUACAUCCCUGAAGAGCCAGCAUGUAACUAGAUGCUUUUCAUAUAUUUUCUUAUCAUAAUGCAAACCAAUAUUUAUCUCAAUUUUUGCACGUGGGCAAGCUGAAAGAGAAGUUAUGUAACUUGCCCAGGGUCAAACAGCGAAUAAAAGGCUGAACUAGGAUUGAUUUCUACUCAAGUCUGCAAUUCCAAGGCCCAUGCUGUUAUUGUAGAGCUCUUCUAUCUCUGACAAGAUUUAGCAAAGGGGUGUGGGCAGAAAGAGAUGGGGAGACACCAUCUUUCUCUAGUUUUGCUUGUUGAGACCUGUUUAGCCAGAGCAUCCUAUUUAUAGGAUACUAGGUUUUAUAUAGAGAGAUGCUACAACAACAUAUGUGGGAAAAAUACCAAAUGGCUGUAGGGGAAGAUUUAAAAAAGCCUUUAUUCUUUAGCUCUAGUUCACCAUUGCAGUGUAACCCACAAGUGUCAAAACACCACUGGUAACUCUGGUUUAGUGCUUAAGAGGCCCUGUCCUGUCAUUCAGAUAAAAUCUGUUGCUGUAUCCCAAGGAGUAAGCCAUGACAGGGGCAGAGAUGAGGGUGUGGUGUGCGCUUACUGCAUCUACUAGAGCUGGUGGCACCUGUUAUGUGACUAUUGCAGUGAAUUAUUACUGAGUAAACAAGGUGUCUCUCUUUUGUCUUUCUAAGGGAGACCAGAUGGCAGUGGAUUUGGCUCAGAUCCAGGGGAGCCUGGCCUUUGGGCUGGCAGAGUAGACAGCUUGAGAGUGUCAGGUGAUGGAAUAAGAAGAGACAGGGCUGGUCUAUCAAUUGGUGUAAUCUUAGGGGCACCAAGAAUGUGUCCUGCCCCUCAAAGACUUACCUCAGCUAUUUGCCAUUGGUUGGAGUUACACAGUGAGAUUUCAUUCCCUAGAUUUAAGUCUUUGAGACCCUACUAAAAAUGAAGAGACUCCAGGAAGGGGUUUGAUAUGAAGGAUAUUGGUCAUGUAAGUGGAAGUGUCAUUCAAUUUAUGAGAUUAAUCUCUGAGAACUAGACUAAGACAACCGACAGAGAGGAGAGGACACUGUGCUCCCAGUCAUAGCGGCAGGAGGGAGACAACACUGAGUUGGAGAUAAAGGCUCUCUGAAAAGAGAAGUUUGGUCUCUAAAGAAACGUUUCAUUUCCUUUACAGUUUUGUCUGAAAAAAAAAAAUAAAAACAACUAGCAGCUGAGGGUAGGUGGGAUGGAUGCUCUUGAUCCCAAGAGGGGGCUUGGAGCAAAGAUUUCCCACCAGCAUGCUAAGUAUGCAGGCACAGUAUUGUCUGGAGAGCAUCUGACAGGCAGAAUGUGACAAGGACUUUUGGGUCUGUGGUUUGCUGUGACUGUCCUUAGACAAGACCAUCAGAACUUAGGAAGUGUGAAGGAGCUUCCCAGAAAUGACGUCAAAUGGUGGCGCAAAAGAAGCUGCUGCUGACAACAUGGGCAGGGCACUUCCUUAGUGGCCACUGGUCAUAUACAGCUUCUGGUCUUGAUUUCCCAAUGAGCUGUGCAGAGACAGGGCUUUACCGGAAAGCAAAAUAAGCCACGUUAAAAACAGUGACAAAGCACUUGCGGGUGUCCAUGAGAAGGUGCAGUUUCCCCUUGUUCACUGACUUUGUAGAGCCAAAAAGCCACUCCAGAGGCUGCCAGCAUAGCACCUGUGAUUCAGAUCUACAACUUUUUGGCCUGAAUUCCUCCAAACAGAGAGAACCUCCCUUAGUUGGCUUCAUCUCUCAUUUACCAGGCUUCUUAAACUGCCUGUGUGAUCUAAAUUUUCACAUCUUUUUCUCCCCCAGGGGGUCUUUGACAGAGGCAACUCAACUCUCUGCCUUUCCUAGAUCCUCACAGUUGGGUUCAUGGAGGUCUUUCAGUCUCAAGCUUCAACUUCUACUCUGUCCACAUUUGUACCCUAAGUCUAGUACAUUUUCCUUUGAUCAGAUUUUUGGCUUCAUUCAGGCCUCUGGGGUUCUUACUCGUUUCUUUUGGCAUAUUUUCCUAAAGGGCUGUCCUAGGAAUGGUCUCUACCUCUCACCUCCUGAAGUUUUACAGGGUUUGAAUCUGUUUCCUUACUGGAAUUAGCACAGCUCUGGAGAGUUUUCUGGAGGUACCACACUCCAUCCUUUUCCCCUAACUACUGUAGCCCCAUACACAAGAUCUAGUGAUGUAGCUGGAUCUGCUGGUCACUAAGAUUUUGGAGCUAGUACCCCCAGCAGGGAGGGACUUAUGGGCAUGUGUACUGUGCACUGCAUGACAAUCGGUGUCUCCCUUCCGUAAUACAUAUAUUUUGACUUUUUCCUAAGAGGAUCAAGCUUUGUCUAAUUGCCUGCCUGAACCCCCAGCCCUGUUCAAGACUACAACCCUGUUGUCAAUCCCUCACCAGGGGCUGUGGCCUUUGCUUUCCAGCCUUAAUUAGGCUAGGUCCCUUCUCUGAGCCUAGAGCCUUUUCUUGAAUUUAGGCUUUGGUAGGUAGAGUCCUGCUCAUGCACAUAUCUCCCAGUGUUGACCACCCUGAAUUCUGCCUGCUACUUGUUGUCUAAUUGAAUGUCAUGCUGAUCUGUCCAGGUGCCCUUGUGGAACAAGAUUCUUAGCUUAGGCCCCUAUCCUGAAUUUCAUGCUAGCUCUACAGCUGC